GCCUGGCUGGCUCAGUCAGUAGAGCAUGCAACCCUUGAUCGCGGGGCUGUGGGUUCAAGCCCCAUACUGGGCA
rnacentral:tRNA from 1 species